AUGUAUUUGGCUAAGGUGUAUGUAAAUUUCCGACUUCAACUUCAGACAUAAAAAUGGUAUCCACCAGUUCAUCUAACUCUGGGGAAGUAGAUGAGACUUCAAUGCCAAAAUUAAGUAUCCCUUUUAAUCUGGGUCUGGAAAACUGGCUCUAGGUCUUUACACUGUAUUUCGUUGGACAAAACACAAGGGACCUGGGCUGUGAUUAUUUUCAGACCACAAUCUGUGUUCAUGAUACAUAUCUUCACUUUGUUGUAAAUACAAACAGAUUGUUCCUUUGUGUGUCUUUGUUCAUAAAUUGUUUUAGAGAUUGGUGUGAACUUUGAUACUUUUAUCUCUAACUCUUACUAAACCAUUAUGCCAAAUAUUUUAGUAAUGCAGCAACUUUCUCUCAUUCUUUUUUAUCCAUACUGCUGUGUUUGUCAGGUAAACAUCCUCCUUACGUUUUCCUUUAUAGAAGUAGGGAAGUUUCUCUAAAAACACAUGACUUAGUUCAAAAUGGGAAGUAUGAUGUAUCCUUUUAAUGUGUAGAGAGGAGUUAUUUCAUAUGUAUUAUGCAAUUAUAGCGGAUGUCUCUGGCUUUACAUAGCUUUUUUUUGUCAACUAAUUGUAUGAAAUUCUAACCCAAAAUGCUGUAAUCUGUGUUCCAAUUUAAAAAAAAAAAAAUGUUUUACUGGAAAAUAGUUUUUGUAAUAUGUGUGAAAAUACUAAUCAAAGGUCUGUGUUUUAUUAUAUGGAUUUUGGUAAGUACUGUAGUAAUCUUGUGGGAAUUCCUGAUUGUUACACAAUCACAGCCACAAGUUGGCCCUUUGCCUGGCAAUAAUAGACAUCACCUGUAUUUUUGGUUUCACUAAUGACUUUUAAACAUUCACACAACCAGACACUUCUGAUGUCAGUCUCUGUUCACUUUGUUCCAAAAGUUCAUGUAUGUUACAGUAGCAUAUUCUAUUUUAUAGCAUAUUCAAAAAUUCCAGCCGCAAAGAUGCCAUAACUGGUCCUUGCUAUCCUGUUUCCUUGGGACAUCCCUACCCCGUUGAAGUUUAAAUUUAAAUGGAGGAGGCAAGGAUAGAGGACGUGAGGAGUAUCCAACUGAGACUCUCCCAGAGAAAUACACACAGGCAAGGACUCACGGACGACCUUAUAGCAGGUGGCUACCAUUGAAACGGGCAACUUUGAGCUCCACCCACAGCAGACUGCAGAGAGACAAUUCCUUAAACCCUCUGGGAUUCCACUCUACGUUUCUGCCUUCUGCUCCAAUCGUCUUUGAACAACAGGAAGGGAGCAAGAUGGACAAUAAAUGUACCAUUCCUCCCUCAAGGAGAACCCAGUUGAAGGUGAUGCUGAUAUGCCCAGUGUGCCAGAACAUAAGGACUGCUGCCCUGUGGGCACAGCUACUGUAUGGUGUGUCUGGAGGGUGUGAUAGAACCAAUUUUUUUUUAAUCAUAUUACUCCAGUGCUAGCUUCCCUACACUGGCUUCCUGUUAAGGCAAGGGCUGAUUUCAAGGUUUUA